rnacentral:rRNA from 1 species
AGAGUUUGAUCAUGGCUCAGGAUGAACGCUAGCGGGAGGCCUAACACAUGCAAGCCGAGCGGUAUUGUUUCUUCGGAAAUGAGAGAGCGGCGUACGGGUGCGGAACACGUGUGCAACCUGCCUUUAUCUGGGGGAUAGCCUUUCGAAAGGAAGAUUAAUGCUCCACUAAUAUACUGAUCGGCAUCGUUUAAUAGAGAAAGCUCCGGCGGAUUGACAGGGGCCCGCUCAGGAUCAAGAUAGCGGGUUAGCUGGCCGUUGUUUCAACGGGAUACUGCUAUGGCCACGAUUG